rnacentral:lncRNA from 1 species
AAAAGGGAAAGCAAGGAUCCUCUCAAGUGGUAUAGUAGUAGGUGAUCCAGGCAAGUGGAAGAUAAUAAAAGAUGGUUCCAAUUACACAAACCCCACAUCCGCUAAAGAACAGCUUUGUUGUAAUAGCAGAUGAGUCGACAAUGUCAGCAGUUAACAGUCUCAACAACAGUAAGGCAAGUCCAAUGGCUAAUACAAACAAUAAUAACAAGUAUAAUGAAGUUCAAAGUGGCAAGGUUGUUAAUCAACAAC